AAUGUAAAUCGCUAGGCGAAAGGAAUAAAGAAAUCUCAUUUUUAUUUACAUGAUUAAUCACAAUAAUUGUGAACGGAAUAUUGAAGGAGGGAGCAUGAAAAGAAAGAAAGGGCUUUUUAAGAGCGAGUCUGGACGCCUCCGGACCGCGAAUUCAUUAAGGAUUCAGCAUCUUUAGCAUCAAAGACCCUCCCUGCAGCCCCCCGGGACCCCAAAUCAAGGGCGACCAAGCGGGUGCAGCGGAUGCAGCGCUUCUGGAGGAUACAGGGCGCGACAGCCUGGGUCUGGCCGCGUCCUAGCCGAUGUUCCCCAGGAAGAGGAGGAGGAAGAAGAUAACAAGCCGCAAACCCCACAGCAGAUUGGAGGUUUUCCAGGAGGACUUGGAGGGGGAACCCACUGGUGAAAUUUCUACUGGUAAAUCGGGGGGAGGGGCAGAUAUUUGGCUUUGUCCUGUCCAAUGCAACAGUGCCUUGGGGCUGAGGAGCAUGAGACGGCUACCGGGCCAGCCAUCGAACGCACAGCAGAGCCAAGCAUCGCGUUAACGAGGAAACGGGGCAGAGAGGACCAGAGGCAGCGCAAGAACACAAGGCACCCGCUCAAACCGCCACAAGGCAGGCAGAAGGUCACCCCGAGUGCCCGCAAGCUCCUAUACCUGCGGAAGUCCAGGAGGGUCCUACUAGAUUCCGGAACGUUCUGGUUCAGCCAGGUCAGGAAGUGGAACUGUGUCACGGUGCGAGUC